CACGUAGGGCGCGAGCGUUGUCCGGAAUUAUUGGGCGUAAAGAGCUCGUAGGCGGCCUGUUGCGUCCGCUGUGAAAGCCCGGGGCUUAACCCCGGGUCUGCAGUGGAUACGGGCAGGCUAGAGGUAGGAAGGGGAGAAUGGAAUUCCCGGUGUAGCGGUGAAAUGCGCAGAUAUCGGGAGGAACACCAGUGGCGAAGGCGGCCCUCUGGGCCGGGCCUGACGCUGAGACGCGAGGGCGUGGGGAGCGAACGGG
rnacentral:rRNA from 1 species